CCUACGGGAGAGAGCAGUGGGGGAUAUUGCACAAUGGGGGAAACCCUGAUGCAGCGACGCCGCGUGGGUGAAGAAGCGCCUCGGCGCGUAAAGCCCUGUCAGCAGGGAAGAAAAUGACGGUACCUGAAGAAGAAGCCCCGGCUAACUACGUGCCAGCAGCCGCGGUAAUACGUAGGGGGCCAGCGGUAUCCGGAUUUACUGGGGGUAAAGGGGGCGCAGACGGCGAUGCAAGCCAGGAGUGAAAGCCCGGGGCCCAACCCCGGGACUGCUCUUGGAACUGCGUGGCUAGAGUGCAGGAGGGGCAGGCGGAAUGCCUGGUGUAGCGGUGAAAUGCGUAGAUAUCAGGAGGAACACCGGUGGCGAAGGCGGCCUGCUGGACUGCAACUGACGUUGAGGCCCGAAAGCGUGGGGAGCAAACAGGAUUAGAUACCCGGGUAGUC
rnacentral:rRNA from 1 species